rnacentral:lncRNA from 1 species
GAGAUAGAUGUGCGUGCGUGGUCAGAUCGCUGGUCCUGUUAACAAGCCUCCUCAUAAAGAUGAGGAUGAUAAG